GUCAUUAGCAUUUUUAUUAUAUUUUCUUCUCUAAUAUUUAUAGUUUACUUAUAUGUAUAUUUAGAGCUUUAUAACAUAUAAGAAAGCUUAAUUCCAUAACAUGAAUCCAGUUAUUCCAUCUCACAAUGGAUUGAUAGCUGUCCCAAUACCAUUUUUAACUAUAUAUCAUUUUCUCACUGAUUUAAAAUUGAUACCUUCAUCUGACACAAAAUCCCAAUGCUGGUCUGUGUUAGGGCUCUUUCUGGUCCACUGAUCUAUUUGUCUGUUUCAGAGGUGGAUAAUAUGCUUUGCUAACUGGCAGGACAAAUCUCCCUCUCUUUGUUGUUUUUCCAAAAUUGGCUUGGUCAUUCUUGCAUGUUAGACCUACCACAUGAAUUUUAAAACUAGCCUGUCAAGUUUCAAGAAAGCUUGUGCCAGAAAAUUGUGUUAGGUUACACUGGAUUUGUGGAUGAGUAUGAGGAAAAUUGCUAUCUUUAUCACACAGUCUUCCUCCUAAAGCACACGGCUCUCCCUCAGUUCAGGUCAUCUUUGAUGUCUUCUAGGGUUUUAUGGUUUUCUCUGGUUAAAGUCCUGCCUGUCACUUGAUAGAUUCUCAGGUGUGCUAAAGGUUCUGCUAUUGACCGUGUCUGGUCCCCCUCUGCUCUUCCUUGUUUGUCCCUUGUUUUUCCAUAGCCCAGCUCAACCUGUUUACUAAUCACAGGGUUUGAUUUGCAGGCACACAUGCGAGUAAAUGCUCUCCGUCCCUGGACACAAGCAUGCGAGCAGGGCCAAACACACAGAGCUGGCGUAAUUGCCUGCAAACAAAUUAGAACCUUUUCAAAUUAUACUUCAAUUAAAUGAGCGAAGCAUGAAUCCAUUCUGCUCUUUAGAAGUAGAGUGGUGUGGGUAUGGCAGCCGCUGUCUCUCAGUAGGCCAGCCACCGAAGGCCUCAUUUCCCGUCCCUUUAACUAUUGUAUAUGUCUCCCUCUCCACAGGACCUAGCAUUGGUACAGGAAAUCUGAACCAUUUCACAUUAGAGAAUUUAGUCAAAGCUUCAUUUUUUCCAUUUAAUCUUUUAUUUUUAUAGCAUAUCAAUAUCAAUACAUGAAGCUCUUCCCUUGAAUAAUGGCCAUCCUUUCCAUUGCCACAACGUCCCACAUCUCAUCUUCUCUAAGCUCCAUGAAUGUUCAGUCGUUCAGUCGCUUCCUUCUUUCUUCUCCAACGACCAGUCUCUGCACUUACUUCCCACACUGACUAAGGAGGGGAAAGAAUGGUGGGUCUCAAGUCUGACCGUUUCUGUCUGAACCGACAGAGGUUACCAAAGUGUCCUCCACAGCUCUCUCUACCAUUUCAGCUUCUAGCCCAAGGGUAAGCAGAGAUUUGAAUCCCUACCAUAAUACCAUAAGCACUUGUUUCAACUAUUUGCCAAUCUGAUGGGGUAAAAAUAUUAAAUCCUUUUUCUAAAUUUGUAUUUUCCUGUUAGCUAGUGAGGAUUUUCAUGUGUGUACUGGACACAUGUUUUCUCUUUGCUGAACUGCAUGUUUAUUUUUACCCAUUUUAAACACUCGCUUGUCUUUAGCUCAUUGACUCGUGGAAUGUCCUAAUAGAAUCGGAAUAUUAAUCUUUUGUGACUGGAGACAAAUAUUUUCUUCCAUCCUAUCUAUUACCUUUAACUCUUUGUUAAAGUUGCCAAUUUUGAUUCAAUCAAACUUAUGAAUCUCCUCCUUUCCUCUUUAAAUAUGUGUUGUGUUUAAGUACUUCUCUUCCUCAGGUUUCAAUAUAUUUUUUAAUCUUUUCCACUGAUUUUACAAUCUCUGCAUUUCGUCCUUUAAUGCGUGUGGAAUGUACUUUGAUGCUUGAAUUGAGAUAGGACCUACCUUUCUGUAAAGGAACAGGUGGUUAUCAAAGCACAAUGGGUUAAGGAUUCACAGAUUCUCUGCUUGCCUUCACUAAAGUUCCCCUGCCCACUGAGCCCCAGGUCUAGAGGGCUCUGAACCCCCUGUUUGGUUCACUGGUCUAUUUAUGCUUUUUUUUUUAAAUUGCCAUAGCUUUCCCCCAGCUCUUGUAUGUGUUAGUGAAAUGCCACAUUUCAUGUCUUUGCUCUUCAGCUGUCCUCGCUCGCUCCUCCACAGGAAUUUUAAAAGCUGCUUGUCAACUUGGGUGAAUUCAGAGAUUAAUUUGAGGGAAACUGACAUCAAUACAAUACUGUGCCAUUCAGUCUGUGAAUCCAAUAGAGCUCUAAACCAAUCACCUCGUGUCCUUCCCUCACAUACUGCAGUUUACUCCGUGAAGAACUUGAUUCGUUCCUAAUGGCGUUCUUUCUAGCCUCUGUUAUGGUUGUGAAUGAGUUUCUUCUGCACCUUUCCAACCCCUUCUUCUUUUGCAUUUGCCUGCUACAUUUAUUUUUAAUCUACUCUCUAAUCACCAUACUUCAUUCACAGACACAUACAAAGUAAAGAUUCUUCCUCUCUGGGCACAAACACGUGAGCUUGGCCAAACACAGAGCUGGCAUAAUUGGCCAAAAAUGAAUGGGAAUUUUUUCAAAUUAAAGUUUAAUGACAGAAGCGAAACAUGAAUACAUUCGCCUUUUUAAAAGACCACAACACUACAGCUGGAGCUGGAGUCCCUUCUGGCUGCUUGCUGCCAUCCUGUAUCCUUCCUUCUCCCCAGAGAUGGUGCUGAGAGAAAAAUCCGGUGCUGACGCUCUGGUGACUGCCCUGUUAGGAAAGGAGAAGGCCACAGGCAAGGCUCAUAGCUCCCUGCUGACUCAGCCCAUCUACCCGGAACUGCUGACUUCUGAACUUUUCCUACUUGAAAUGAAUAAAUGUUCUUUAUUGUUUA